UACGUAGGUGGCAAGCGUUGUCCGGAAUUAUUGGGCGUAAAGGGCGCGUAGGCGGCUUGGCAAGUGGAAGGUGAAAUCCCUCGGCUUAACCGAGGAACUGCCCUCCAAACUGCUUUGCUUGAGGCCGGGAGAGGCGAGUGGAAUUCCCAGUGUAGCGGUGAAAUGCGUAGAUAUUGGGAGGAACACCAGUGGCGAAGGCGGCUCGCUGGACCGGUUCUGACGCUGAGGCGCGAAAGUGUGGGGAGCAAACAGG
rnacentral:rRNA from 1 species